rnacentral:ncRNA from 3 species
CAACGGAUAUCUCGGCUCUCGCAUCG